rnacentral:lncRNA from 1 species
GUAGAACGUCCCCACCUGGGAUUUGUCUGGUGUGUGGGGUAGAGUGGCAUUCUUGUCACAUCGUGUCCUGGGGACGGUAAUGGCCAUGGCUGGCUGCCUGUGCUUCCUCCUCUACCUGCUGUAGUGGAUCUUGACAGGCUCCUGGUCUGCAAAGUGGCCUCGGUCCCCUCUCUCUCUCUCUACACCACUCUUUUCAGGUUGUCACUGGGACACUUACGGAGCAGAAGCCCUGCCGCAUCCUCCCCAGGGGGUGCUCAUGUCACUAUGGGGGAUCUUGUGCAUGGGACAUCUCUGGUCUUCCUGGAUUCUGUGUUCCAUGUGGACUUCACUUUGGGGGUUAUGAUUUAAUCUGAUACCAUGUUAUUGGUCAUGUUGUGAUUCCCUAAGGACAAAUGACAGGCAACAGCUUGACAUUUUCUUAUUUGCCAUCUGUGUGGGUUUUUUUUUU